AUUGAACGCUGGCGGCAGGCCUAACACAUGCAAGUCGAGCGGUAGCACAGAGAGCUUGCUCCCGGGUGACGAGCGGCGGACGGGUGAGUAAUGUCUGGGAAACUGCCUGAUGGAGGGGGAUAACUACUGGAAACGGUAGCUAAUACCGCAUAACGUCGCAAGACCAAAGAGGGGGACCUUCGGGCCUCUUGCAAUCAGAUGUGCCCAGAUGGGAUUAGCUAGUAGGUGGGGUAACGGCUCACCUAGGCGACGAUCCCUAGCUGGUCUGAGAGGAUGACCAGCCACACUGGAACUGAGACACGGUCCAGACUCCUACGGGAGGCAGCAGUGGGGAAUAUUGCACAAUGGGCGCAAGCCUGAUGCAGCCAUGCCGCGUGUAUGAAGAAGGCCUUCGGGUUGUAAAGUACUUUCAGCGGGGAGGAAGGCGAUAAGGUUAAUAACCUUGUCGAUUGACGUUACCCGCAGAAGAAGCACCGGCUAACUUCGUGCCAGCCGCCGCGGUAACAC
rnacentral:rRNA from 1 species